rnacentral:rRNA from 1 species
UUAAAAAGUUUAGAUAAAUAAAGAUAUAUUGAAUUUUAAAGUUUUAUAAUAAGAAUAAGUUAAUUAAUAAAAAUUAUAGAAGUAGUAAUGUAAAUGAAAUUAGAUAAAUAUGAAGAAGUAAUUUUAAUUUAAUGUACCUUUUGUAUCAGGGUUUAUUAAAAUAUAGGUUAUAAAUAUAAUUUUCUCGAAAUUAAAAGAGCUAAUAAGAUAUUGAGUGAUUAAAAAUUAUGUUAGUUAAUGUGAAAUAAUUAUUAAUAAUAGGUUAUUAGAGGAUAUAUUCUAGUCAAUUUUAAUGAUAUCUAGUUUUUUUUUAUUUAAAUUUAAUUUAGUCUUAAAUAAAAAUUUAAUAAGUAAUAAUUUUAUAUAUAAAAAAUUUAUUAUUAUUUAAGAUAAUAAAUUAUGGGAUAAACUAUAAUUUAAAUUAAAAUAAUAUUUAUUUGUUAUAAAUACAAUAAUAAAGUAAUACUAAUAAAAUUUUAGUUUUAUAGGAAAAAUUUAAUAAUUUAUUAAAUAAAAUAAUAAUAAAUUAAAAAUAUUAAUUAAUAAAAUAAAUAUAAUGAUUUUUAAAUAUUAAAAUUUAAUUAAAUAAAAAAAUAUUAUUUAAAAUAAUUAAAAAUAAAUAAUAAUGAUAAAAUAAGUAAAAUUAAUUAAGUUAAAUAAUAAAAAGAGGAUAAAAUUUUAAUUUUAGGAACUCGGCAAAAUUUUAGGUUCAACUGUUUAAUAAAAACAUAGUUUUUUGAUUAUAAUAAAAAAUAUUUUUACUGCUCAAUGAUUAUAAAUUAAAUAGCUGCAGUAUAUUGACUGUACAAAGGUAGCAUAAUAGAUUGUUUAUUAAUUGUAAACUGGAAUGAAUGUAGGAAUGAAACUUUAACUGUCUUAAAUUAAAAUAUUGAAUUUAGUAAUUAAAUAAAAAUAUUUAAAUGGAAUUAUGGGACGAGAAGACCCUAUAGAAUUUUAUAUAUAAAUUUAUAAAAAUUAUAAUUUAGUAAUAAAAUAAAUUUAUAUAUUUAGUUGGGAGGAUUGUUAAAUUUAAUAAACUUUAAUUUGAAAAAUAAUAUUAAUAAAUAGUUAAGUUUAAAUUUGAUGGAUUUUUGAAGAAUUAAGAAAGAAAUAAUUACCUUAGGGAUAACAGCGUAAUAUUUUUAGAAAGAUCAUAUUGAUAAAAAUGAUUGCGACCUCGAUGUUGAAUUAAGAUAAAAAUUAAAUGUAGAAGUUUAAUAUUUAAGUCUGUUCGACUUUUAAAAUCUUACAUGAUUUGAGUUUAGAUCGGCGUGAGCUAGAUUGGUUUCUAUCUAUAAUAAAUUUAAUAAAUGUUUGUACGAAAGGACUAUAUUUAUAAAUAUAAUUUUUUGUAAAAGUGAAAAGUAAAUUUUGUUUAAAAUUGAGAAGAAAAAU